ensembl:piRNA 21ur-482 ncRNA
CAGUAGACAUCUCUAACAGCA